GAUGAACGCUGGCGGCGUGCCUAAUACAUGCAAGUCGAGCGAACAGACGAGGAGCUUGCUCCUUUGACGUUAGCGGCGGACGGGUGAGUAACACGUGGGUAACCUACCUAUAAGACUGGGAUAACUUCGGGAAACCGGAGCUAAUACCGGAUAAUAUUUCGAACCGCAUGGUUCGUUAGUGAAAGAUGGCUUUGCUAUCACUUAUAGAUGGACCUGCGCCGUAUUAGCUAGUUGGUAAGGUAACGGCUUACCAAGGCAACGAUACGUAGCCGACCUGAGAGGGUGAUCGGCCACACUGGAACUGAGACACGGUCCAGACUCCUACGGGAGGCAGCAGUAGGGAAUCUUCCGCAAUGGGCGAAAGCCUGACGGAGCAACGCCGCGUGAGUGAUGAAGGUCUUCGGAUCGUAAAACUCUGUUAUUAGGGAAGAACAAACGUGUAAGUAACUGUGCACGUCUUGACGGUACCUAAUCAGAAAGCCACGGCUAACUACGUG
rnacentral:rRNA from 1 species